AGCCCCCCGCUAUAACCACUGUGGCACGGCCCAGCUGCAUGCCCCUGGUAACAAUCCAUACAACACGCUUGGACAUGCGAUGAGGGUCCAGGAUUUAGCAGGCCAACUUUAGGUUUACCGUCAUCUUUAGGCGUACUGUCAUCUUUAGGCUUACCGUCACCUUUAGGCUUGCCGUCAUCUUUAGGCUUACCUUCAUCUUUAGGCUUACUGUCAGCUUUAGGCUUGCCUUCAUCUUUAGGCUUACCGUCAGCUUUAGGCUUGCCAUCAUCUUUGGGUGCUUUGGGCUUGCCGUCAUCUUUGGGUGCCUUGGGCUUCUCGGGCUCUUUGAUCUCAAUGCUUUUGAUGGCACUCCCACCUUUGCAGCAAAUCUUGUCCCUCAUCUUUUCUGGACUGCAGCAUACCACUUUGAUAACCACUUGGUUUUGCUUCUCGUCGUAUAUCUGGUCUCGUAUUUCUCUUGUUCACAAACACACAUUAAUUUACUCAGUUUACAUUUAAUCUAAAUUAAUCUUAUUUUCCCAAAAAGAAAGAACUUUAACUUUGGUAUUUCAUCAAAUAACCAUAUAGAUGAAUCAAGGAGAAAAGAGACUCACGUGGGAAUUUACAAAGAACUUUUUUAACCUUCUUGUAGCAUUUGUGACACUGAAGAUCUACCUUCAGCACCAUAAUCGUAACCUGAAUUAUCCAUUUUUAAUAUUAAUAGAAAAAAUAUGUGCAUUAACCAAAGAUUGACAAGAAUGAAUCUUCAGAAAAUAUAUAAAUAUACAGAAGAUUGUUGUGCAAAAGUGUAGACAAAAAGAAGUGGAACAGUGCUGCUGGACAAUCAGGGUUCUAACUGACUGACAGGGAAGAAUCAUGGUGAAAGUAUGUGGCCAAAUCUGUAACACAGAGAGAGAGAGAGAGAGAGAGAGAGAGAGAGAGAGAGAGAGAGAGAGGCAAAAAGCAACAAAAUAGCACAGAGGAAGGGACUUGGAGACUUAUUAGGAUAUAAAAAAAAAAGAACAGGAACCACAAAACUUAAACAAGAGCUUAAAGCCUUUUAGUUUUAGCCAUACAAUCAUCAUUUGGGUUAUCUACUUAUCCUUGGAAGAAGAAAAUGAAGAGAACACAAACUAUACCAAAUAUUACGUACCUUUUCCUUUUCCCCCAUUGCAGUGAGUAGUGGAUGCUCUCAGGCUCAGAUCUGGACGAGAACUUCUCAACUAAAAUGAUUGAAUGGGACAAAAACUUUAACGAAAUCAACUUUUAUAAUUAUAUAUGCAUAUUUAUACAAAAAUAUAUAAAAAUAGGAAUACAAUUCGGUGGAACAAAACAGAGAGAGAGAGAGAGAGAGAGAGAGAGAGAGAAGGAGAGAGCAAUAUUUGAUUAAAGUGGCUUAUUAAAAAAAAAUAUGACAAAUUGCUUGUUAAGAAAGAGUGAAAAAGAAAGAGGGAGAGAGCGCACAAUAGUUCGUACAUAGGGCGAAUGGGCUGCGAACACGUUGAUAUCGGUAGGUUGAUCCCACGCUAUGGUGGACAAAAGUUUCAUUGUAACUGUAAUACGGAUAAUACAACAUGUGUCAGUGAUGGAAAAUUUUAAUUUUUAAGUUAUUAAUUUUUUAACACAAGUAGCUCAUUAUUUUUAUAAUAACAUGUGAUGUAACAUUCUAUAUUUUGGACACACUAAAAGUUAUGUCAUUAUAAUAAUUGAGAGUUGUCGUUAUAGAGGCAGAUUGUCUACCCUCCUGUUUGGGUGCCCAUCUCAUCCUCACAUAUUUUGUGCGGUCAUGGUUAAACCACGUUUACAUUUUAUAUGCUCAUUAUUUUUUGUCUUAUUAUCUUUAUAAAAAAAAUUAAUAUAAAAUAUUGACGUGCCUUAACUGUAACCGUACAGAUAGAAGAUGAUGAAAAAAACACCUAAACAGGAGGCAGACAAUACGCCUCCUCGUUAUACGAAGAUAGGUGACUUCCUGAUGAUCGCUAAAAGUUGAAAUUUCUUGCACAUGCAUGUGCUGGCUUUGAUUCACCCACCUCACCUUCCAUACUUUCCAACUUCCUGCUAAUAUUAUUAUAAGUAAAUGAUUAAUUAUCAAAAUAAAAUUACAUCCUAAGUUAAUUAUAAUUAUUAAAGUUCACAUAGAGUUUGGUGGAGAGGAGAGAUGCCAAUAUUAUUUCAAGAUCGUCAAAUUAAUGGAGAAAAAACUAUAUUGUAGGGUCGAUAGUUUGGUCAAGUGCAAUUAUGGAUCAUGCACCCCCACAUGGCACAUGGAAAUUCCUCCAGUUGUCCCUACAUCUUAAGUAACAACAGGUGCCACCCAUCUUUGACUAGCUACUUGAAGUUUGGUUUGUUAAUCCAAACCGGUGAAGAAACGUCUGGUAAUUAGGUUGGAGUAGGAUUCUUUAUCCUUUUAUUUCCAUUCUUUUUUCUUCCCUUCUCUUACAUGUUACUUUUUGUCUUAUUGUUUUUAUAAAAAAAAUCAAUAUAAAAUGUUGACGUAACUAAACCAUAAUCAUUCAAAUAAAAGAAGAGGGAAAAAAAGAGAGAUUAAGAGGAAAGCGAAUCCUCUUCCAAUUAGGAUAACGAUUUUCAUUCAAUUGAUAUGGCAUCAUUUUAGAACCACACGUACAUACAUGCUGCAUCAUAAACCCUAUUACCUGCAAUGUACCGGACAGAGAAUGGAUGAUCAAAAUCCAAAAAGCGUGGGCUCCAGAUGACAAGAGCGUGGCUGAGGUUCAAAUGUCCCAAUUUCAUAGAGGUGGGUUGCUCACACAAUAGUGGUUGAUCAAUCCGAUUUGAUCUUUUCUUCUUGUACGUAAGUGCAUCACAGCUCAUUCAUUUGUACGUAAGACUUGAUAUGUUUCGUUUUGAUACAACCGACAAGAAAAUGAGGAUGAGAUUAGUGGACAUUAGGUGCAACGAUAUUUAAAUUAAUUAGUCGUUCACUUAAUUAUCUUUGUUUCAAGACUAGAAGUAGUACACUACACACCCUAACAAUGGUCAAAAGUGGGGAGUAUGAUUCUCUACCCUUCCAUGUCCUUCUAUUUGAACGGUCACGGUUAAGUCAUGUCCUCCUAUUUGAAUGGUUAAAUAUGAUUUAAUAAUAAUAGUUUUGUUGUCCUUUGGCUCUCUUGAUUUGAUUCUAUACAUUAAAAAUUGAUUUCACUUUCCUGCCUGCUUCCUGCUUCUGCAUACAUACAAUAUGGCUAAGCUUUGCAUUUUGGACAUAUCGAAUGUUUUUUAACUCAACUUUUGUCUUUGAAUUACGUUGUUUUGUGGAUGCACGGGAUCGGUGGUUAGAUAUCUCGUCUUGAACGCUGUCGUGCAAAUAGUACAUACGUAAUACAAAGAUUAGGCAGAGGUAACUUUGCGUAAUUUCUGGUGCCGCUCUAUGCUGUGCGCAGGUGUGCGCAUCGCCUGCGCAUAACGUCUUGGAGAUGAAAUCCCAGCCUUCGACCUCUAAGGCCUUAAAACCAACGGAUGUGAUGAGUGUUAAAUCCCUUGUACGCAACCCCAUGCGCAGGGGAGAAAUUCUGCCGACACUGUUUUCUCACCCUGAACGAAUGGACUUAUAGCAGCUUCAAUAUACCCACCACAGGCCUAAGUUUGUAGAUAAAAAUCACAACGAUGAAUUUGGGCCGAUUCUGAAAUAUCGAAGCCCAAACCUAGAAGAGAUUUUAAAAUGGAUUUUAGAUUUUUCGUCACCAGACUCGACCCAGCAAAGUUGGCAACUAAUACAGUACACACCCACCCACCCACGCCCACCUAGGGAAUCCCUUGAUCUUAACGCACAAAACCCUUUGGGAAAUUGACAUUUUGAGAAAAACUUUUUUAUAAGCUUCCUGGCUCAGAAAAUGAUAAAACCAUGCAACCAAUAACCAUAUUUUCUUGUCUUAGUGCACUGUACAAGGGAUUAAUCGGCGGUGUCUAUACAUAACACAUGAAAGUUAACAUUAUUCCUGCUCAUCUAUCUCAUUUGUAGAAGAGAUGUAAACGUUUAUAUUUAACUUUUAAUAGAUUUCUCUUCCCAUCUAGUAGAGAAACAUAAAGAGUGAGGUUUUUACAUUUUGAUCCCGUUAAAAUCUGAAUGGUAUUUUUCUGUCCCAUAUAUUGGUCCCAUUGAGUAGAGAAAUGUCUACAUGAUUCUAUCACAAGCAAAUAACAUGUCUUGUAUCUCGAGAAUUAUAAUAGCGGAAAUAAGCCUAAAAAGUAAGCAUCUAAGGUCACUUUAGUCUAUGAUGGUCAGGGGCGGCCCUGAGGGUAGCCUGGUAAGGCAACUGCCUAAGGCCCUCAACUUCUGGGGGCCCCCAUUUUUUUUUUAUAUGUAUAUAUAGUGUAUAAAUACUUUUAAAGUAAGAAGGAUAACACAAAAAACUUGGUGGCGUAGUGGAAAAGAAGGCAUUUAUUUGGUUACCAUCUCUUGUUUGAAACAUGAUGAAGACUCCCCAAACAAGUAUUGUUUUUCCAAAUAUAAUUAGAAAGCCUAAUCUAAUAACAAUUUGGAUUAUGUAAACUCAAUUGGUACAGUUGCAUCUAAAAAUGCGACACAUGUAUUAUCUAAUGUUUAUAUAUCUUUCUUGUUAUAGUAUUAAUUUUUAAUGGUAUUUGAUGUAGAAAUACAUUUUUUUAAUGUAUUAACAAAUUAUUUUUUCUACAUAUCAAUGUACAAAGAGUUGGGGAUUCAAUGAUUCUAGAAUCCCACUUUUAAAGCUCGCCUAGAGCCUUCAAAUUCACAAGGUCGGCCCUGGUGACGGUUUUUGUACCUCCUGUCAUUCUCAUGUUGGAGUGACUCCCAAAUGGUUUUGAUCAUAAGGAAUUUUCAAAACUUUCGUAGCAUACAAAAGGAAACUGGACUUUUUCACUUCUUCGAUUUCUUAAACCUCAUUCAGCUAUGAUCUAACCGAUGAUGUUAUUCAAAUCACAUCACACAUAUAGGCGCAUUACUACUGAGUACGAGGAUGGAUUUCUAAGAACUUCACUAACUUUGUAAGACUAAUGAAAGAAGAUUUCAUAGUUGAAUUCUAAUGGUACAAAACGGUUCUCUACGCCCAAAGAGAAUUCCAAAAACAUAUAAAUAGAGAACUGAGAAGCAGCAAAUACCAGUUUCACAUUGCAGUUUUAGUGUGAUGAGUUUUCCAGUAAACUAAACAGCCCAACAUCUAAGCAGUAACUAACUCAGAUGAACUUCUAGACUCUAACCAUAACUUGACUGCAACUUCUAUUGUAAAAAACCAGCUAGCCUUGUCUAAGGCCUCAUGGAAUAGAGCAUUCAAUUCCUUCAAAUGCGACUCAAAUGCACUCACCACACCUUUGUCUGGAACUUAUGUUUCCCAUGUCCAUUAUUAAUUCCAAACAACGGCGAAAGCUCCUCACCGGAUUCCAAUACCCAAGAUAGGUCAUUGAUCCAAACAAGUAAUGCAGUCAGAGCUGCCCCAAGAGAGAGGCCCUUAAGAUACAAAAAUCACUGGGUCUGAGACCUUGACUGUAAGCCUAUGUAUAUCUGAAGUGUGAUCCCCAAGUCUAGUAGCUCACAGGCUCUCUCCAAGAGAUUGAGGUUCACACAAAGAUCAAUCAGGCAAUUGUAGUAAGCCUUCUUUACAUCUGAACCAAUCGAGUUAAAAAGUUGUGAUGCUUCGUUCUUUAAGUUUUCACUACUUUCUUGCUUUUCCACCAAAAGUUACCACAUCCCCUAGUUUUUCAUCAGCAAUCUCAAUGCAAUUCACAAGCUUGCAAUGUUCGUCCUUUGGUGUUUGAGUCAUCACAUUCAGGAGCUUGCAAAGUUCUUGCAAAGUUCUUCCUUUGGUGUUUGGGUCAUCACAUUCAAGAGAUAACCACAGAAACGCUCAUCGGGUGUUAUUCCCAAUUCUAGGAGUUGAUUGAAUAUUUUGACAACGUCAUCAAUGCGUUUUGCCUUACCGUAGCAUUGGAUGAGUGAUGUCAAAAUAAAGAUAUUCGGCUCGAAACCAGCUUCCAACAUCUCAUUCAAUGUUGCUUCUGCCUCUAUGACUUUCCCGCUACAAGAAUAUAUGGUAAUCAUGAACGAAAAGGUCCAACUGUCAGGCUUCAAUGUUUCAGAACUCUUCAUUUCUUCAAAAAUCUCAACGGCUUCGUCGGUGUAACCAACAUCAGCACACAUAGGUAAAUGGGUGUUAUGGAGAAUUACAUUUAACUCCAGUCCCUUUUCCUAAAGAGCAUCAUCACAGUAACGAGCUCUACCAUAGGCCCUUAAAAGAGUUGCAUAGGUUACCCAAUUUGGUGAAAGCUCAUUGCUGAUCAUCUCUCGGUAAAUUUUCUUGGCCUGCCAAGGCCUCCUAGCUCUUCCCAUAGCAUCCAACAAAGUGUUAUAAAUAACCAAGUUUGGCUUAGCCCCUAUAGCUUUCAUUUCUUCAUAAACAUUCAAGCACCCAUCAAAAUACCCUGAUUGCCCGUGAAUUUUGAUCAAUGUAGAAAAUGUCACUGGAUCAAUGCGCCACUUCUCGGUCCUAGCUCGGUCAUACAAACAUGGUGUUGGAUUAGACAAGUGGGGUUUUAGCUUUUGCUUAUUUGUGUAUAAACAUAUCAAUCAAUUCUCGAACAAACAAAACGAGGAAUGAAAAGCAGGCCUAGGAGUAGUUCUAUUUUCUGGGAACACAUUAUUACACACGUAUCUAGGUUGCUGCUGCUGCUUUUUCUCUCUUGUCGACAUUUGCAGGCGAAGAGGGAUCAAGGAUUUGUUUACUUUAGAGUAAUGUUAGGAAACUAAAUUUGUAAAUAAAUUUGCAAAUUAAAUGAUAUGUCAUUAACACUUAAGUAAUAAUCAGAUCAUCAACCUUCAUGUCAUUUAGUUUACAAAAUUUUGUUUACAAAUUUAAUCUCCCUAGCUACUCUUUAGUUUAUGGUAGAAUCUAACAAUGUGGGGAUUGAAAAUAAUGAUAUAGUUGAGCAUUGUUAGACGAGGAAUGGUAGCUAAAUUUCAUUCUUUAGUUUACUCAUAUGAGCCCUGGGAGGCCAAGGGUUUGCUUAUGGGUUAGGAAUUUACGUGGAUUGAAACACACUACCUGAUCAAUUAGUGUAACUCAUAUAAAUUCUGGGAAACCAAGAGAUUGCUUCUGGGUGGGUUUUUGUUUUUGGUAAUGAAAGAAGAAAAAAAAUAGUUUAGAUUAGCACACGCUAUGGUAGGAGAGAAAAAAGGUUAACUUUUGGAAAUAAAGGUAAAUAUAGAAAAAUAAUAAUGAGUUUUUUAAAAGAUAUAAAAAUUUUGUUUGUGUUAAUAGAAUUCAUGUUACGCUUAAUAAAUGAGAAAGAUAAGUGUAAAAUGCAAAUGAGGAAGGUAGCUAGAUUCUUCUGUUCACACCUCCUCAAUUACACUCUUGACUAAUUGUUUAUUAGUAGUUGAUGAAAAUCAACUUGCGAAAUAGGAAAUAACUAAUAAUGCACGUGCAGUGUGCAGGACAAAGAAGGGAACGUGGAGUGGAAACUUAUAUUGCAUUGAAAAUUGUAGCAGGCACCAACUUCAUCUUCAUCUUCAUGAUGGGAUGUAUUUCUUUCUCUCUAUGGUCUAUAUUAAUGAUUUAAAGAACAGAAUAACAUGAUUGGGACUUGACAAUGUUCAUGUGACUUGACAACCACGAACUUUAUUAUUCACUUAACAGUAUACAUGGCCAUUGGAACUGAACCGUUAACACGACCUGUUAAUAUUAGUAUUUGGAUGAAUAUUUAACGGGUCGGAUCGUUAACAGGUUGCUAAUGUGAACCCGUUAACAACUCACAUUAGUAACCCGUUAAAUAACGGGUCACUUUGGAUCAACCCGUGAACACCCAUUAGUUAAGGAUGUUUUAGUAAUUUCAGUAAAGUCUUAACAACAAAAUAUAAACUCUAUGAAAAAAAAAAAUAAUAAUAAUAGUUGUUAACGGAUGAAACGGGUGACCUGUUAGCUUAACGGGUUGGGUUCGGAUGAUCCAUUAACUUAACGGGUCAGGUUUAACCCGACCCAAAUCCAAUAAACCCAACCCGUUUACAGGUAUACUCUUAGGUGUGGUUUGGGGUUGAGAUUAUUUAAAAAAGAAAGUUGAGAUAAAAAAAAAGCUAGAGUAAAAUUUGUGUUUGGUAACUCACAGCGCGUUUACUAAUCCGUAAUCAAAUUGAGGGGAAUUGAAUUGAUGGGGAAUUGGAUUGAGGAGGAAUGGAAAUGAGGUGGAAUCAGAAUCAGAUUCAUGUUGUAGUUGUUUACUAAAACUGUCUGGAAUCGGAGUAGAAAUGACAUUAAACUAUAUAAAGUGUUUACUGAUUCACAUGAAUCGGAAUGAAAACUAAUGCGAUUACUAAAAUGCCCCUAUUUUAACCAAUUUAUUUUAUAUGUUAAUUAUUUUAAAUAAAAUUUUUAUCGUUUUAUUUUUAUUUUGAUUACUAUACAGAAUUUACAAAUAUGUAUUCUUGCUGGUAGAGAAGCUCUAGACAUAUGUAGAAGAGUCUUUAAUCACAUAGAAUUGUCCAAAUUUGAUCAUUUUUUAUUUGCUUCAUCCUAAACCGUAUUAGAUCAAAUUUACUUCCUUUUCUCUCUCUCCCUGUUUCCCCCAUUUUUCUCUGCAGCUGCUUGACCAGAUCUCGUUGCGGCAUCGUUCCACAUCGCGUUCGUCGUUGCGGCACCGUUCCAAUCGCGUUUGUCGUUGUUCCAUAUUCUUCUCUGCAUACACAGAAGAGAGAGAGGAGAGAGAGAGAGAACACGACGGCUCUGCAUUUUCUGGCGUCACUGUAGCUACGUGGGCAUUCUUCCCCUUCCAGUAAGUUGCUUCAGGUUCACUGCUUUUUCUUCUUCAUCAUCGUCGUCGUCUUCUUCUUCUUCUUCUUUUGUUGGGUGCUGUGGACGCAGGGGGCUUGGUUUUCUGGAAACAGCACGAAGCUUUGAUCGUAUACAUGGGUAUUUUGGGUACAAAAUUUUGAUUCCUGAUGGAGUGUUCUACCCGGAACUCAAAUACUACCUCUAUAGAGGUAAUCCAAUUCCGGGCAAUUCUGGAGUUGAAUUCCUGAUAUUGGGUGGUCCCCACAUAAAUUUUGAUUCCCUAAUUGCGAGUAUACGUCAGAAUGCAUUGGGGAAUAUCCAAUUUCGUUUCUCUCGAUUCCAAUCCCGAUAGGUAAACACGCCCUCAGCUUAUUUUCAAAGUCACUGUCAUUUUAAGCUGAAAAGUGGAAAAAAGCUGAAGCAGCAAAAUGCAGCUUCUCAAAACCAGCUUUUUUUUUUUCAAGAGGCAGGUGAACAGUAGAAUUUAAUGAAACUUUCACAAUCUCAGAAAUACCCUCCUCAAUUUCUCCUUCUUGCUGCAUUGAGCUCUUCAUGAGUCUCUGUCUCUGUCUCUUCUUUCUCUUUCUAGAACCAGAAGCUCUAAGUCCUUAAGGUUCAUUUUGGUUUCGGAUCGGGUCCUGCAUUUGUAUAAAUCGGAGCUGUUUGAUCGGCGCUAGAACGGAUUCGGAUUUCAACAAUCGAAUUCGCUUUUUGUCUAAUUGGAUGGUCUGAUUGGGGUUGAAGAUGAAUCCGCUCUGCUGCAUUGCAUCGGUUUCGAUGGAUCGCGACCGGGGCACCCCGGUGGCGGUGAAAAUGAAGAAUUUUGAUCUGGGUUUUUUCACAAAAAAAAAAGAAGGUGAUUUGAGCUUUUCAAAGAGAGGAUUUGGAUGGAGUGCUUGCAGUUGUAUCAUUGAAGAAGAAGACCAGAGGAUAAUAUAAUGGAAUAAAAAAUGGCAAAAGUGGAUUAAAAUAUCGUAAGAAUAAUGAGUAGAUAAUGCUGGAAUGAAAUAUAAAAAAAUGGCAAUAGUGGAUUAAAAAUUGUAAAGAAAAUUAACCUAUAUUUGUUAAGAAAAUUAAAUUAAUAGCACAUAUAGUAUUAUAUUUGUUAAGAAAAUUAAAUUAAUAGCACAUAUAGUAUUAUACCUUUUUUGGUCAUUUUACACAGUCACAAUUGUUUUACAUAAAAGUUUACCAAACACUAUCAUACUGCUUUUUUUUUUCAAAAACACUUUUACACAAAAGUUUACCAAACAUUCUGCUGUUUUAUUUCACAGCCGCUUAUUCUUACAGCACAGCAGAAACAGUUUUUUUUCAAAGUAUAACAAUACCAAAUCAACCCUUAUAAUAAUAGGAAGUUUUAACGAAAACUACCUUUAUUUAUCAUUUUACAUUAAACCUAAGUAUUUUUUUUGGAUUUUUUGUCCGUUUUCCUAUAAUAUUAAUAUCAACCGACAAACACUGCUAAAAUAUUAUCCCUAGAUUGAAAAAGGUGUCACGGUCCAACAAGAUGAUCGAUGAUUUACAUGACUGGGCAAGCUGAGGGAUUUUCUUCACUGAAAUAGUCAGGGUGAGUAACACAAUACCCCAUGUUGUCACCGCCGUAACUGUUAUACACAGGCCUCCUAUAGUAACCAUCAUAUUGGAUGUACGGGGCUGGCCGCCCGCCAUAACCACUGUAGCAGGGCCGCUCGCCACAACCAUUGUAGCAUGGCCGCCCGCCACAACCACUGUAGCAUGGCCGCCGCCACAACCACUGUAGCACGGGCCAUCUGCAUGCCCCUGGUAACAAUCCAUACAACAUGUGCGGACAGGCAUUGGGUACCCUAGCACAGCAAGAUCUUUAGGCUUGCAAUCAUCUUUUUUUUUACCGCCAUAACCACUGCAGCACGGCCCACCUACAUGCCCCUGGCAACAAUCCAUACAACACACUGUGACAGGUGGUGGGCACUUUGGCACAACAGGAUCAUUAGGCUUGCAGUCAUCUUUUUUAUUGCCGCCAUAACCACUGCAGCACGGGCCACCUGCAUGCCCCUGGCAACAAUCCAUACAACAUGUUCGUACAGGCGGUGGGCACUCUGGCACAACAGGAUCUUUCUUACCGUCACAUUUAGGUUUGUUGUCACAUUUAGGUUUGUCAUCACAUUUAGGCUUACAGUCACAUUUAGGCUUGCCGCCACAUUCAUGCUUGUUGUCACCUUUAGUCUCGGGCUUGCUGUCACCUUUAGUCUCGGGCUUGUUGUCAUCUUUGGGCUUCUCGGGCUCCUUGAUCUUGAUGCUUUUGAUGGCACUCCCACCUUUGCAGCAAAUCUUGUCCCUUAUCUUUUCUGGAUUGCAGCAUACCACUUUGAUCACCACUUGGUUUUGCUUCUCGUUGUAUUUCUGGUCUCGUAUUUCUCCUGUUCACAAACACACAUUAAUUUACUAAGUUUACAUUUAAUCUAAAUUAAUCUUAUUUUCCCC
rnacentral:lncRNA from 1 species